UAGGUCGAAGCUGACUGAUCACAAACAAGUCAGGCAGAGGAAGCAUCACAAAACCCCAUUAUUUGGCAAGUUGAAGCACUGUGAGAUGUUGUUGAUGGCUGAGAAGUGACAGCAGGGGACCGAGGAAAAAAAUCCCACAGUAGCGUGUAAGCCACUGAAAAGGGAAAGCUUGAUUUGUGCAAAAAUGUCAUGUAGUUUUUGGGUCAGAAGCAACCUCUUGCAAGAUGACAGGUCCUGCAAGCUGUGGUCAUAGCUGGUUACUAGCAAACAAUUCACAAAUAUUCUUCAUUGCUUUCCUUGGGAGUAACCUGUGCUUUUAGCUAAGCUUUUAGAAAAACAUUGCCAGGAGCUUUUGCAACCUAGGAUUUCUGCAAUGAAGUUUCUUCGAAGUUGAGAGGACUUUCAAGUAACGAGGCUACCGAGAUAGAUUUCAGGUGUGAAACGCAUUUGCAACAUGGAGACUUAGGCUUUGAUACCACAGAAAGGUUUCAUUAUGAAAAUUCAUGUUGACAAUUCAUAUGAACUCUGGACCCAGCAGAUCUGAUUUGAACAAUGGGCCUAGUAUUCAUGAAGCAUAUGUUUAAAAUUGUAUCAGAAGUAACAGGUUCCAUCAUACAAACUUGAUACAUGUGUGGCUGAAAAGGGGACAGAUUUUGAUCUAUUUGAGGAGCAGGCCACUGAGAGUUUGAGC
rnacentral:sRNA from 1 species